GACGAACCGUGCGAACGUUGUUCGGAAUCACUGGGCUUAAAGGGCGCGUAGGCGGGUGCUCAAGUCCGGGGUGAAAUCCUCCAGCUCAACUGGAGUACUGCCUCGGAUACUGGGUGCCUCGAGUGUGGUAGGGGUGUGCGGAACUAUCGGUGGAGCGGUGAAAUGCGUUGAUAUCGAUAGGAACUCCGGUGGCGAAGGCGGCACACUGGACCACAACUGACGCUGAGGCGCGAAAGCCAGGGGAGCAAACGGG
rnacentral:rRNA from 1 species